rnacentral:rRNA from 1 species
CAGUAGCCACGGGAAUACGGAGGGUGCAAGCGUUACUCGGAAUCACUGGGCGUAAAGGACGCGUAGGCGGAUUAUCAAGUCUCUUGUGAAAUCUAACGGCUUAACCGUUAAACUGCUUGGGAAACUGAUAAUCUAGAGUAAGGGAGAGGCAGAUGGAAUUCUUGGUGUAGGGGUAAAAUCCGUAGAGAUCAAGAAGAAUACCCAUUGCGAAAGCGAUCUGCUGGAACUUAACUGACGCUAAUGCGUGAAAGCGUGGGGAGCAGACAGGAUUAGAUACCCCAGUAGUCCCUGUCUCUUAUAC